GCGAUGAACCGGUUUGCCGCUUAAAGCGCCGCUAGUAACGCGGUGUAUUUAGGAGGAAAGUCCGGGCUCCGCAGGGCAUGAUGCCGGGUAACGCCCGGUGUCUGUUUUUUUGUGUUUGCUUUUUUGAAGGCGGGCGCAAAAAGACGGAUAAAGAGAGCGCAACAGAAAGUAAACCGCCUGCGCGGCAUUUUGCCGCCGGGUAAGGGUGAAACGGCGGUGUAAGAGACCACCGCGGUGUCAGCAAUGACACUGAAAUCCGGCGCAGCCGGAAAAACGGCAAGCCUCAUCAGGAGCAAAGGUAAACAGCGAAUUUCCGGUUUAGGAGCGUCUUACGGGAGCCCUAACCGGUUGCGGAUUGCCCGUCCGUGAAUCGCGGGUAGCCUGCUGGAACUGCCCGAAAGGGUAAGUCAAGACAGAUGGUAAACGCGCAUAAAUCCCGGCAAGCCGGAAUUUAUGCGAUACAGAACCCGGCUUAUAGGUUCAUCGUCAAU
rnacentral:RNase_P_RNA from 1 species